UCACUCCAGCGAUGGAGACAAUGAAGCUGGCGAAAAAAUUCCCAAUUCCAUUUCCGUUUCCUGGGUUUUUAUGCUUCACUCAGUAAUGUUGUUGUCUUUUUUAGUUAUCCAGUUCUGGUUUUCGUUAGUUUAAGUAUAAUUGGUACACCUGGUAAUUUUAGUAUUUAUGUUGUGGUCCUGAAUUUUUUUUAUUAACCAGAAUGUUGUUUUCAUAUUGUUCUGUUAUUAUUUGGAAACAGUCAAUAUAUAUAUAGAAACAAUAAACAGAUUUAAUUUUUAAAAAUUUCAGUAAGAGAAGUCUGUUGAUAAAAAAAAAGUAAGAGAAGUCUGUCUUAGAGACAAGGAUUAAAAUUAAAAUAAACGAUAUCAUAUAAAUACACUUGCGUAACAUGAUUUUAUAUACAUCUGAAUUUUUAAUAAUUUUGAUAAAUUAAAUUUGUUGGUAAAAAAAACAAGAGAAAUUUUGAUCGCUUAAUAAUGAAAGAAUAAGAUUAAAUAUUGUUUCAUUAUAUUAUUCAUCUUAACACAUGUAUUUCAUAAUUAUGAAAAGUAAAAAUUAUAAUGAGAAACUAUCAUAUAAUGUUUUUUGUUUUUGAAACAGACUGCCUUAUAUGAGUUUAAAUAUAUAUCUAUAUUUAAGUUUGAAAGAUUCUAUUAUAAUAAUUGGAUAUGUAAUAAAAAUUCAAAUAGAAUUUUAACAAAAAUUUAUUACUAAAUAUAAUUUAGUUAUGUACAGAAUUAAUCAAUAAUAUUCGAUUAAUUUCAAGAUAUCAAAUACAAUAUAAGAGAUCCUACCAAAUAUUUUGAAGACAUUGGUAUGUUUUUUUUGCUUUUAUAUUACAUAAAAUAUAUUAUUUAAUAAAACUAGGAUUCUAAUCAAAUAUAUCUAUAAAUUUAGAUAAUUUGAAGAAACUUCGGGUGUAGAUGAUUGUGUUUGUCUUAUAACUACAUAUCAUAUUCUGAUGAAGAUGAAAAUCAUAUAAACAACUGUAUACAUAUUAAACCAUUAAGCUACAUUCUCUAAAAAAUUAUUUUAAAGAUUACUUAAAGCAGAAUAUUUAAUAUAAUAGAAUAUAUUAUUUUAAGAUAUAUGCUUAAAAUUAUAUUCUAGCUCUUACUUUCACUUAUUUAGUUAUUUAUACAAUAUGUUUAAUCAUGCUAAUGAAGACCUUACAAUUUUGAUCAUUACAGUAAAAAAAGAAUUUAAAGAUUGGUUUGAACAAAAUAUUUAGAAUUCUAUCAUAAUUCUUAUAUAUACUAUUAUUUAAUAAUGUUUCAAAUAAUAGUAUAAAAUUGAUUAGUAUACCGUUUAAAUUGAUGACUCAUGACUCAAAAUUAUUAAGAACACCACAAAUAAUUAAAAUUAUUUUUAAAAUCAUGGAGAAACUGACAACUAAGCAAAAUCAAUUCUCAAAAGUAUAGGUAAUCCGACUAUAGUACUAAAGGCUAAAAUAAAUAGUUGUAAAGUUUGGACAAAUACCUUAAUAUACAACAAUUCAAAAAAUAAGAACAAAUAAAAUAAAAUAAUUAUUCUCUAAAAAAAAUAUUGUUUCAUUUGAAAAAAUCACGAUUAUGCAUGUUAUUAUGCAAUUUAGUCAGGCAUCUUUGAUGCUCAACAUUUUGAUAUCAUAUAUAAGUAAAUAAUUCAUGAAAAUAAUUGUUCAAACAUAAUAUAUUACCAAUCCACUGAAGCAAAAUAACUUCAAAUAUUUAACAGAGGUCAUUCAGUAUCUGUUAUAUUUCUUUGUAGAUAUUUAAAAUUUUACUGAUAAAUUUUUGAGUAGAAGUUCAAAUUUUACGUUAGGAUAUUAAAUAUAAUUAAUGUUUGGAUCCAUAAAAUAAUCCAGUACACACUAUAAAUACAUUUUUCUAUAGUUUAAUACACUAUUUUAAUUCAAAAAUAUUUUCUCUUAACCUCAUAUGUAGGAAUUAAACAUAAAAAUUAAAAUAUUCUAAUAAAUGAUAAUAAAAUUUGAUAAAUUUACUAAAAAUACAUUUUAAUAUCUAAAUUAUAUAUUUAAAUUAUUAUGAAAAUUAAGUACGUAGCGCGCGAAAUCCACUAAGCUCAAUGAUGCAAUACAUCGAUUUCGCCAUCCAACAGACCUUUCCUAAAAACAUAUUAAUAAAUCCUGUUUACUCAACUUAUGUAACAAAUGUUUUUUGCAGAUGUUUUUGGUCAGGUGAUGAGUAUCAACCUUUUGUAACAAUGAAAGCCAGUCUAUUCAGCUUCUGAUGUUAACAAUCCCAAUGGACGGGUAAUUUUCCACAACGAUAAUGGUUUAGUGCAUCCAGUAAAGAUGGUUUUUAAAUAACGUCGACCCUCCUCUGCAGGGAAACUACGGUUUAUGUCAGCAUUAUUUAUUUGAUAGCUAAUCUACUUCAUGAAAGGUAAGUACUCUUGCGUGUUGAGCCAAAUGUGAUGAAUACAACCAACAUCUAUACGAAAUUAGUUGGAGAUGAACAUAAAUCAGCUCUUAUCUGUCAGUUUAAUUACAUAAAGUUGUCAGUUAAAAUCCUUGCCUACUGUCUUAUGCCAGGUCGCUUACUUCUGAAAGAAAUUUCAGAUUAUGCUUUUAUUUAAAUACUACAUUAAAAACACAUGUUAUGUAGAGCUCAGGAAGGCCUCUCUUCAGCUUCUGCCAAGUAUGGCAGGAUUAAGAAACUUGAAUAUGUCGCUCUCUCUGAGUGUAAUAAUACCAACGCCCACCACUUGCUAAUUUCGCACACCAGGUAAGGUUCCUACAUAUUUUACUUAUUGUACAUAUCACCAUGAAUGAGACUAGAUUCACAAUAGUUUUGUUGGUAGAGUGGUGAGGACCAUCCAAAUGAUGAUAUGACAGGGGCUGUUAAUCCCUCCAUGGAUUCAAACCCAAUUGUAAACAACAUUGGUCCAGAUAACACCAACCAGUGUGAUACUACUGCAACAAUUGAAGGUUGUUCAUAAGUGUCUGAACCAAUUCCUCUGCAAAUUGAUCCACUGGUAAACACGAAGAGGAAACAACUGAUGGUGGCAAGGGUCCAAAUCUUAAGAAGCCCCCAAAUGCAUGAUCACUCCAGCGAUGGAGACAAUGAAGCUGGCGAAAAAAUUCCCAAUUCCAUUUCCGUUUCCUGGGUUUUUAUGCUUCACUCAGUAAUGUUGUUGUCUUUUUUAGUUAUCCAGUUCUGGUUUUCGUUAGUUUAAGUAUAAUUGGUACACCUGGUAAUUUUAGUAUUUAUGUUGUGGUCCUGAAUUUUUUUUAUUAACCAGAAUGUUGUUUUCAUAUUGUUCUGUUAUUAUUUGGAAACAGUCAAUAUAUAUAUAGAAACAAUAAACAGAUU
rnacentral:lncRNA from 1 species